rnacentral:sRNA from 1 species
UUGAAAGCUGUUGAGGGCUGCCCACUGCUCUUCCUUUGCCACCCCCGCUUCAUGCUGUUUCCACUUGGGUUGGAAAAUGUGACCAUAACCAUGCGGAUGUGGCUUUUCCUUCCCCACCUUCACCAUGAGCUGUGGGCAGUGGCCAUGACUUACCUGAUUCUGGAUCAACAAAGCAGAUGUUCAAAUACAGUUGACAAAUGUAGGCCAAUAGGUACAGUGGCUCACACCUGUCAUCCCAGCACAUUGCCAAGGGGAAGAAUGGCUGGUCACCACAGUAGGGGCGUACCUCCCAGCGGUGUUUGAGGAGGUUCUGGAUUUGGUGGACGCCGUCAUCCUUACGGAAAAGACAGCCCUGCACCUCCGGGCUCGGCGGAACUUUCGAGACUUCAGGGGAGUGUCCCGCCGCACUGGGGAGGAGUGGCUGGUGACAGUGCAGGACACAGAGGCCCACGUGCCAGAUGUCCAUGAGGAGGUGCUGGGAGUUGUGCCCAUCACCACCCUGGGCCCCCACAACUACUGCGUGAUUCUCGACCCUGUCGGACCAGAUGGCAAGAAUCAGCUGGGGCAGAAGCGUGUGGUCAAGGGAGAGAAGUCUUUUUUCCUCCAGCCAGGAGAGCAGCUGGAACAAGGCAUCCAGGAUGUGUAUGUGCUGUCGGAGCAGCAGGGGCUGCUG